AGUGAACGCUGGCGGCGUGCUUAACACAUGCAAGUCGAACGAGAACGGAAUAUAGCUUGCUAUAUUUGUCAGCUAAGUGGCGCACGGGUGAGUAAUGUAGAGAUAACCUGCCCUUAAGAAAGGAAUAACAGUUGGGAACGACUGCUAAUGCCCUAUAUGCCUUUAAUACAUAAGUAUGCAAGGGAAACGCUUUAGUGCUUAAGGAUGGGUCUGUAUGGUAUAAGCUUGUUGGUGAGGUAAUGGCUCACCAAGGCUAUGACGCCUAACUGGUUUGAGAGGAUGAUCAGUCACACUGGAACUGAGACACGGUCCAGACUCCUACGGGAGGCAGCAGUGGGGAAUAUUGCACAAUGGACGAAAGUCUGAUGCAACAACGCCGCGUGGAGGAUGACACAUUUCGGUGCGUAAACUCCUUUUAUAUAGGAAGAUAAUGACGGUACUAUAUGAAUAAGCACCGGCUAACUCCGUGCCAGCCGCCGCCGUAA
rnacentral:rRNA from 1 species